UAUUCUGCCAGCGGUCUAACGAAAUGCACGCAAUAAGUUUUCGGUCGACUUCGGGAAUGGUCUUCGUGCAUAAAUGUCCAGAAAAAUAAGCGCAGCGUUAGGUCCCACACAAUGUCAUGUUCUAUCAAAAUCUAUCCAAGUUUAGAGUUAAAUAGCUAUUUGUAUGGACAUAGUCCCUUUUUUUUUAAUAUACAGAAGUUUUGGUGUUGGUCUAAGAGUGCGGCACUCAGUUUCUAUGUGCCGUCCUGUUAAAUUGAAGUGUAGGAAAAUCUAAAGACCUGGGAAGUGUGAAACAGAAAGAAGAAAGCUUUUCCGACCCUAUAAAGUAUAUAUACGCUUGAUCAGUAUCACUAGCCGAGUCAAACUGGCCAGUGCCACGCCUACACCUUUCCCAUCAUUUCCCAUCGAAGUUUGAUAACAACAUAAUGGUCCAAUGUUGCCGACUGGAUAACUCCAUUUAUUGGACUCCGCCACAGAGUUGGUUGUAAGGGAUACCACCUGUUGAGCUUGUUGCGGACGAAAAGAAUGCAAUUGUGAUUUUAAAAAUACUGGAAAGUCAACAUGCUGCUGAAUUUGCAAGCUGGAUGAUAAUUCAUUAGCAGCUAAGCCCUUUAUACGCGAUUUCUCACUAACACAUUUUGAUAAUGUCCUCUUGGAAAGACAUCGAUCCUUUUGAAGCUUAUCUUUUUUUCGUCGAGCUAAAAUUUUUAAAUGUCCAUUUAUUCCUUUUGCGUCCUGAAAAGAAAGAUUUAAAAAAUAAUAUGUUGUAAACACAAUGUACACAAUUAUAUACCCCUUGCAGUCCAACUUAUCAUUUUUGUCAUACGUUAUUAAGCGUAAGUACUUGUUACUCAUUGGUUGGCUUUCUAAAUAAAUAUAUAUAAGCUUAAAUAAACUCCAACACAAUUUU
rnacentral:sRNA from 13 species